AUGACAACGAAAGAGAAGUCGAAAUGGAAUAAAAGAACGCAAUGUUCGGCAAUCAACUGCAAAAACUAUCAGUGCAACAGUACCAAUCUUGCCUUUCAUCGUUUUCCCAAAGACCCUGACAGGUGUGCCAUGUGGGUGCAGAAUCUCAGGAAUGGAUCUUUGAUGGGGAUAAGCUCUCAGCGGCUCCAUCACAACUAUAGGGUGUGCAGUGCACAUUUUCACGCUAGCCAGUUUAAGAGACCAUCUGAUGUCCAUGCAGGAUUGAAAUGGGAUGCAGUGCCCACAAUGGUUAAUGACCCUAACCCACCACCCCAAUUGGACUUGGAGUUAAAGAGAAAGCCACGAAAGACGUGUCAGGAGUUACCACAAAAGAGACGUAAGAUAAAUACAGGGAUUCUUUGAAAUGCCAAUCAAAAUUUGGAGUGAAAGCUCAGUCACUCUAGGUUUUUUUUAGAGUGUCAGUCUUACAUGAAAGUAACACCUCGUUGUUUUGCUGCAAUGUGAUUUUAGUUCAUUUCCAAAUUUGUGUUUGUUUUACAGGUAAAAAAAAAAAGUAAUAUUGUUUACCUGCCAAAUACCGGCUCAACCACUGCAAACAGUGUUCAACAACCCACUGGUUCAGAGACCGAUAUUACCUCUCCUGAUG
ensembl:lncRNA